rnacentral:rRNA from 1 species
UACGUAGGGGGCAAGCGUUGUCCGGAUUUAUUGGGCGUAAAGAGCGUGUAGGCGGCCUGAAAGGUCAGCUGUGAAAACUGGAGGCUUAACCUCCAGACGUCGACGGAAACCGCGCGGCUAGAGUCCGGAAGAGGAGAGUGGAAUUCCUGGUGUAGCGGUGAAAUGCGUAGAGAUCGGGAAGAACAUCGGUGGCGAAAGCGCUCUACUGGACCGCAACUGACACUCAGGGACGAAAGCUAGGGGAGCGAAUGGG